GAUCAACUUCGAUAAGCUCGGGGAUGACUUGUGGGUAGCGGUGAAAUUCCAAUCGAGCCCGGAGAUAGCUGGUUCUCCCCGAAAUAGCUUUAGGGCUAGCCUCAAGGUGAGAGAUACGGAGGUAGAGCACUGAAUGUCCUAGGGGGUAUUGCACCUACCGAAGACUAUCAAACUCCGAAUGCCGUCAUCUUAUACUUGGGAGUCAGACUGUGGGUGAUAAGAUUCAUAGUCGAAAGGGCAACAGCCCAGAUCGUCAGCUAAGGUCCCUAAAUGUAAGUUAAGUGGUAAAGGAUGUGGGAUUGCACAGACAACCAGGAUGUUGGCUUAGAAGCAGCCACUCAUUCAAAGAGUGCGUAAUAGCUCACUGGUCGAGUGAUCCUGCGCCGAAGAUUUCCGGGGCUAAAACUUACUACCGAAGCUACGGCAUCAGUAAUGAUGGGUAGGGGAGCUUCCCAUACGGGUUGAAGCAUGACCGUAAGGACAUGUGGACAGUAUGGGAGUGAGAAUGUUGGCAUGAGUAGCGAGAUGUGGGUGAGAAUCCCACAGGCCGUAAACCCAAGGUUUCCAGGGGAAGGUUCGUCCGCCCUGGGUUAGUCGGGACCUAAGCUGAGGCCGAAAGGCGUAGGUGAUGGACAACAGGUUGAUAUUCCUGUACUACCGAUAACCGUUUGAGAGA
rnacentral:rRNA from 1 species